AAAUAUUCUGUGCCCUUUGAUUUUUUCUGCCAUAUUCUUGUCAGUUUUUUUUUGGUGUUUCGAAUUUUAUGUAUAGAAGAAAAUGUGUUCUUAUGUAAAUACACCAACAAGGGAUGAUAUCCUUUUUUCUCUUUGUAAUUUUGAUUCAUUUUUCCAUAGUUGGAAUGGCAUUACAAUGUUACCAGUGUAACUCUGAAACACAUCGAAGAUGCCUCUCGGAGGAUCGACUUAUAGAUAAGUUUUUAAUGGAAUGUCCGCCUGCAAAAUUCAACUAUUCUGGCAUGAAACCAAUACCUUUUUGUUCUAAAAUCAAUCAAUGGCUGUACUUCACAAAAAAGAAGAGAGAAGCAGUCAUAAGAAGCUGCAAUUACUUUCACAAAUUCAAGGACAAAUGUGAAGUUUACAGUGAUCGUGAUUCUUAUCAAUCGAUAUGUUUGUGUGGAACAGCCGGUUGUAAUACUGGAGAAAGAAAAAGUGUAACUGUAAAUUUGCUGGCUUCACUAUUACUCUUACAAAUUUUAUUUAUAUCUCUGUGUACUAUUUGACAAAGCUUUUUAUUAUAUCAAUAAUGCAAUUUUCAUAUAUGAAAAACAUUGGGAAAUGAGCAGAUAUAACUUUUAAUCAAGGAAUCAACAAAUAUCAAAACAGAUUCCACCUGAGAAGAGUAGAGACAAGAAACAAGCCGAAGGAGAUGGUGAUCGAGAAGGAAUAAACAUUUUUUCUAAAUCCGGGAAGGGGUCAUCCAAAAUGACAGUGUGAGUUAUACGGAUAUCUUGAUAUGGUCUAUCUUCAGAGUCACAAAUUGCUUCAUCUAUAACUUCCAAUACAUCCAAUCCUUCAACUACUUCCCCAAAAACACAGUGUUUCUCAUCCAAAUAUGUGAGAUCAUUACCUAGGCACCGAAAAAUCUUUUAAGAGGACCAUCGAGUACCCCAUAUAUUGAUUCCCCUCCAUUUCGACUUCCUGUAGGAUCACCAGUUUGUGCGAUAAAUCCUUUACUGACAGUGUGAAAUAAAUUCCAAUUGUAAUACUUGAUCUUGCAAAGCUUUAGAAAAUUUUGACAGGC